rnacentral:rRNA from 1 species
CAGUCGCCGCGGUAACACGUAGGGUGCAAGCGUUAAUCGGAAUUACUGGGCGUAAAGCGUGCGCAGGCGGUUAUAUAAGACAGAUGUGAAAUCCCCGGGCUCAACCUGGGAACUGCAUUUGUGACUGUAUAGCUAGAGUACGGCAGAGGGGGAUGGAAUUCCGCGUGUAGCAGUGAAAUGCGUAGAUAUGCGGAGGAACACCGAUGGCGAAGGCAAUCCCCUGGGCCUGUACUGACGCUCAUGCACGAAAGCGUGGGGAGCAAACAGGAUUAGAUACCCGUGUAGUCCCUGUCUCUUAUAC